rnacentral:misc_RNA from 1 species
GACUUUAGACCUCAGAUUUUUUAGUCAAAAAGUUACGUUGUCGUUACCAUGGUAACCGCUUGCUGACAACGUAACAACAAUGAGGAAACUCUGUGAUGUUCUGAGUGUGACAUUUGCUGUAUUUUUAUAUAUUUACGAAAAAAUGUAGUUGUCGCACUGAGAAAGUUAUUUUGCAGAAUAUUUUUUACGAGGAGUAAGGCGAUGAAGAUGAAAAAUGUGUAUUAAAUAAAUGUCUGACUAAACACGGUGAUGGUUGAGACAUAGCCAUGCCCAAACUUAUUGAGUUGACUAUAGAAAUUGAAGUUCAAAAGGUGUCUUGCCCUGGAGUGUGGUUGUGCCAGGAUGGCCGAGUGUCCCUCACCGUAUUCGCCCUGGGCACUAGUUACCAGACCUGUUACUUGCCGCCAAUCUUUCCACUUGCAUUCGGGGAUGUGUUUUAUUUCCGGAAGAGGUUUCAGGAGAGUUGUGCGUUAAACAACAUUUGCUGUCUGCUCAAGGAUGAAAUAAUAUACUGCGAGCUGGUGCAGUGGAGCGAGAGCUGCGCCCAGGGUCGCUGCGUCACGCUGGCGCAGUACCUGGGCGCGCUCGGCGACGUGCUGUUCCCGCCCCAGAUGUGCUCCUCGGACGGCGUGGACCUGCUCAUGCGCCGAGCCGAGCACUUCCCGGGUAUACUCUCACCUAAGAUAGAGAUAUCAACAAAAGUGCGUAUAGAUGAAGUAUGGAACACAGGUUUAGCAAACAACAGCAUCAGCAAAAUAAUGGAGACUUGCCACUGCCCCAAUGAGUCGGAGGGAUCGCGACAAAAACAAGUUUGCCAUUCUUCGCAGUACCACAGGAGCAAAUGCAACCAGAAGUCGUUGUCUCGGUCCAAAACCCGCUCGCACUCGAUCGGCUCGCGCUCGGCUCGCAGCGCGGACUCCGACGCGCCGUGUGCGCGCGCGCGAGCUACAUCGAAGCCCCAAUCGCCAACCGCCUGCGCGGGGCGCCGCACGCUCGCGCGCCCGUGUCGCCAGUACACCGUGUGCCCCGUCACCACCUGCGACACCUACUGGCGGGGCGACGCGCACGAGCGCAGCCCGCACGAUGACGUCAGGUGACUGUUCGUACAUUGUAACUGCGCGGGGCGCCGCACGCUCGCGCGCCCGUGUCGCCAGUACACUGUGUGCCCCGUCACCACCUGCGACACCUACUGGCGGGGCGACGCGCACGAGCGCAGCCCGCACGAUGACGUCAGAAUCGACGAUUCGAGCUCUUCAUCGAAGGACAUACACAAGCUGCUGCUCGAGAGCCGGUACGUAGACCCCGCGCCACCGACAC